GAAAGCCUUUACUACAUCUUGGGCAGACAUCGACUGUCAAGUUCAUGACAUCGUUUUUUUCAUGGACUUUUUGUACGUGGCUCACGAGAGCUGUGACUGAAGAGAAUCUAAGAGUGCAUUGCGGGCAUUGCUCAACUUGCCUGUUAGCACUCCCACUAUGGUUUGUGGCAUUGCUGCUUUGGCCCCUUCCGCUGCCUAAUUUUGCCAUUCCAGCUUCAGCUGCCUUGAAGAAUGAUGAGGCCCAACUAGAGGAUGACGUGGCUGGAGCUUUAUUAGGCUCGCCAUUUCUACUGCCAGUGCGAAAGUUCAUAAAGGAGAAUGCUGCUUCUGGUUUCUUACGUCCAGGACAUUUGUGAUCAGGUCCAAAACGAUGCUUCAAAC
rnacentral:misc_RNA from 1 species